rnacentral:lncRNA from 1 species
CCCCCCGCCGAUAACUCCUCAACCGCGGGGGCCGGAACAACGUCGGCGCGCCUCCGCCACCGCCACCCCCACCGCCGCGGUGCCGGCUUUUGGCGGGGAUGAUGUCAUCGCCAUCGUCAUCGGUGACGUCAUCGUCGGGGGGGGCCAAUCCCAGGGCCCCCCCCGCCACCGCCAUGGCCGCCGCCGCCUCCUCCUUGCGCUUCUGCUCCACGUCGCGGAUGAUGUCGACCACGUCGUCGGCCGGCAGGUGCAGGCGGCUCGAGAGCUCGAUCAGUUGGUCGAUGGUGCCCGGGUCCAGUGGCGCGUCUGGCGCCGCCUCCUCGUCAUCCUCAUCAUCUUCAUCCGCCGGCCGCACCGCCUCCGCCAGCUCCUGGGCCAGCGGGGGGACGGCGGCGCGGCUGGGGGCGUCUUCGCGGUUGGGGACGUUGGCGCGGUUGAAGACGUCAUCACGGUUGACGUCGUCGCGGUUGGGGGCGUCACCGCGGUUGAAGACGUCAUCGCGGUUGGGGACGUUGGCACGGUUGGGGACAUUGGCACGGAAGGGGAUGCCAUCGCGGUUGACGUCAUCGCGGUUGCGGAUGUCUUCGCGGUUGACGUCAUCGCCACGGUUGGGGAUGUCGUCACGCAUGGAGAUGACGUCACCGCGCAUCGGCAUCCCGCCACGCAUGGAGUUGUCACCACGCAUGGGGACAUCGCCACGCAUGGGGACACCGCCGCGUGUCAGCAUCUUGCCACGCCGGGGGACGUCGCCGCGCACGGAGAUGUCACCGCGCAUGGAGAUCUCAUUGGUCAUGGGCACCUCGUUGGCCAUGGCGACCUCGUUGGCCGUUGGGAUCUUCUUGCCCAUGAAGAUCCUGUUGCCUACAGGGAUCUUUUUGCCCAUGAAGACCUCGUUGGCCAUGGGGAUCUUGUUGGCCAUGGGGACUUCAUUGGCCAUGGGGAUCUCAUUGGUCAUGGGGAUCUCGUUGUUCAUGAGGACUUCGUUGUCCAUGGGGACCUCGUUGUCCAUGGGGAUCUCAUUGUCCAUUGGGAUCUCAUUGUCCAUGGGGAUCUCAUUGUCCAUGAGGAACCCAUUGCCUACGGGGAUCUCCUUGCCCAUGGGGAUCUCCUUACCCAUGGGGAUCAUCUUGCCCAUUGGGAUCUCCUCACCCAUCAGCAUCUUCUUGCCCAUUGGGAUCAUCUUGCCCAUUGGGACCUCCUCGCCCAUUGGGAUCUUCUUGCCCAUGGAGAACCCUUUACCCAUUGGGACCGUCUUGCUCAUCGGGAUCGCCUUGCCCAUCGGGAUCGCCUUGCUCAUGGAGAUCGCCUCGCCCCCGGCGCUCGCCCUCCCCACGCCGCCCCUCUCCCCACCUCUCCCCCCCUCUCCCCCAACCUCUCCCACCUCCCCCCCUUCCUCCUCCUCUUCCUCCUCCUCCUCCUCCUCCUCCGACCUCUUAUCCUGGGCGGCCGCGGCGGGCCCGUGGAGGAGGUAGCGCAGCAGGAGGUCGGAGGCCAGGUCGGCCAGGCGCUCCUCCUCGGCGGCGGCCUUGCGGGCGGCCUGGGCCUGCCGCCGGCUCUCGGCCAGCUCCUGGUAGCGCCGCUCCAGCAGCCGCUGCUCCAGGCUCUGCUGCUGCCGCAGCUGCCGGGCGCUGGCCCAGCUUCGGCCUCCUCCUCCUCCUCCUCGCUCCCGGUCCCGCUUGGCCUCCGCUCGCAGCCUCCCCAGCUCCUCCAGCUCCUUCAGGACUUCGUCCGGCGGCGAGGAAGAGGAGGAGGAAGGGAUUUGGGGAGGGGGGAANNNNNNNNNNNNNNNNNNNNNNNNNNNNNNNNNNNNNN